GGAUUAGAUACCCUGGUAGUCCUUGCCGUAAACGAUGCAUACUUGGCGUAGCCGGACUCAACCCUGGCUGUGCCGUAGCUAACGCGUUAAGUAUGCCGCCUGGGGAUUACGCACGCAAGUGUAAAACUCAAAAGAAUUGACGGGGACCCGCACAAGCAGUGGAGCAUGUGGUUUAAUUCGAUGCAACGCGAAGAACCUUACCCAGACUUGACAUAUAGUAGACCGCGCAAGAGAUUGCGCUUUCCUUCGGGACUGCUAUACAGGUGCUGCAUGGCUGUCGUCAGCUCGUGCCG
rnacentral:rRNA from 1 species